rnacentral:antisense_RNA from 1 species
AAUCCCAGAGCUCUUGUGAAGGUACUUUCAUCUAUGGAUGGUUAUUAAAUUGGUGUUUUCAGCUUACAGUGAAAGAUCUUCAGAACACCAAUUCAGUUGCCUUCAGGGUUAAACCAUAAUAUCAACACAAAAUGGAUCAAGAGCCAGUCAUCCUAAAAAGACCACAUGCAUGGCCCCUGAUCUAGCAAAAGUAGUCACAAAUGCAGCUGAAUGUGUGGAAACCUCUAAGAAAAUGUGUGAAUCACAGGAAGAGCGGCUCAGUCAUGGAACGUGGAGAAAGCUGCCACAGAAGCAAAGGCUGCCUAUGCUCAUGCCAGCACUGACAGGGAGAAGAACUCUCCGCCCUCUACCUUGGGUAUUCUGGCCCCAAUGACAGGGCUGUCUCUGGAAUGAAGUUCUGGAUCAUAGUCCUGAGAGAAAUUCCAAGACUCAUCUUUUUUCAUCCAGAUUUCUAUACUCCAGAAGGGUAAAGAAAAAGAAAAAGAAAAA